GGCACUAUGGCCGAGCGGUCUAUGGCGUGUGACUCAAGCGAAAUGCUUGCCUGCGCACAGCGGGUUUCUCAUCUCCGUAAGGGGGCGUGGGUUCGAAUCCCACUGGUGUCA
rnacentral:tRNA from 1 species